rnacentral:rRNA from 1 species
ACAGGGAUUGCCUUAGUAACGGCGAGUGAAGCGGCAAAAGCUCAAAUUUGAAAUCUGGCACCUUCGGUGUCCGAGUUGUAAUUUGAAGAAGGUAACUUUGGAGUUGGCUCUUGUCUAUGUUCCUUGGAACAGGACGUCACAGAGGGUGAGAAUCCCGUGCGAUGAGAUGCCCAAUUCUAUGUAAAGUGCUUUCGAAGAGUCGAGUUGUUUGGGAAUGCAGCUCUAAGUGGGUGGUAAAUUCCAUCUAAAGCUAAAUAUUGGCGAGAGACCGAUAGCGAACAAGUACAGUGAUGGAAAGAUGAAAAGAACUUUGAAAAGAGAGUGAAAAAGUACGUGAAAUUGUUGAAAGGGAAGGGCUUGAGAUCAGACUUGGUAUUUUGCGAUCCUUUCCUUCUUGGUUGGGUUCCUCGCAGCUUACUGGGCCAGCAUCGGUUUGGAUGGUAGGAUAAUGACUAAGGAAUGUGGCUCUACUUCGGUGGAGUGUUAUAGCCUUGGUUGAUACUGCCUGUCUAGACCGAGGACUGCGUCUUU